GGGACGCGACACGGAUCCUCGCCCCCUUCCCAUCUCCGUAGAAGGGAGUCUGUAAUCCGGCUAGAGUGCUGCCUGGCUUGCAAUCAGGCAAUUAUCAAGGCGGUCUCCUGGAGCUAUUUUGGGAUCGUGGGGGGCGGGGGGAGGAAUAUCUCGAGAUGGCACGCAGGCGGUGUGAACAUGCAUGCGGGAGAGCUCCCAGGGCGAGGUCCUGUCGAGGAAGGUUGGUUUACCCGCCCCCAGCCUGGAGGGGUGUGUGAGGGCAGAGUGCUUUUCCCCUUCACAGCACGGCAAAGAAGGCCCGCCUGACCUUGCCUUUGAGGGAAGUGACACAGUGCGAUGAUACAACUAGAGAGUGAUGGGAGCUCCGGUAGACAGUAGGCGUGCUUGUCUGGGGUGCACCGUGGGCUUACCACCAAUAUCAUGUCUCGAUGGAUCCCAAGCAGUGUUCUUCCAAGGCAGCUUACAGAAGCAGCACUGCUUAGCUUCAGUGGCCUGGAAUUACUUUGCUCUCCUGCUCUGUGUGCAUGCUGCCCGACACGAAACAGAGCAACCCGUUUCCACCCAGUAGAGACCAAGCAAGCAAGCAAGCAGACUGCAUGUUCCUCUGCACAAUAUUCUCACUGCAUUUUGUCCAAUCUCCACCAGAUUAAACAGAAAAUAAAAUAGCAAUGAUGUGUUUUGAAAAAUGACAAGAGA